GGAAAAAGUGAUCCCAUAUGUACUGCUGACUUUUCACUGCUAAUUUGCCUUAUGUAGAAUCUAAUAUCCUGACCAGGGAUCAAACCUGGGUCUCUUGAAUUGGAAGCAUGGAGUCUGAGCCACUGGACCACCAGGGAAGUCUCUCAGAAGACUCUUGAGAGCCCCUUGCACUGCAAGGAGAUCAAACCAGUCAAUCCUAAAGGAAAUCAACCCUGAAUAUUCACUGGAAGGAAUGAAGCUGAAUGCUGCUGAAGCUGAAGCGCCAAUACACUGGCCACCUGAUGCGAAGAGCUGACUAAUUGGGAAAGAUUGAGGGCAGGAGAAGAAGAGGAUGACAGAGGAUGAGAUGGUUGGAUGGUAUCACCGACUCAAUGGACAUGAGUUUGGGUGGACUCUGGAAGAUGGUGAAGGACAGGGAAGCCUGGUGUUCUGCAAUUCAUGGAGUUGCAAAGAGUCAGACACAACUUAGAGACUGAACAGCAACAACAGGAAUUGGCCAUUUCUAUACUUUCUCCAGAGAAAUGUGCAUCGAAAUCCUUUAUUUUUAAAAUAUUUAUUUAUUUAGCUAUGUGAGAUCUAAGUUGCCGUAUGUGGGGUCUUUUUUUUAAAUUGUUGUUGUGGCACACAGAAUCUUUUUAGUUGUGACAUUUGGAAUCUUCAAUUGCAGCAUGUGAACUCAUAGUUGCAGUAUGUGGGAUCUAGUUCUCUGGUCAGGGAUUGAACCCAGGCCCCCAACAUUGGGAGUGUGGAGUCUUAGCCACUGGGCCAUUUGGGAAGUCCCCCUUAUGCAUUAAAACAUUUUUUUAUUGUUGAGUUGUACAAAUUCUUCACAUAUUCUGGAUACAAGCCCUGAGUCAGACAUAUUAUUUGCAAAUAUUUUCCCCCAUUCUUUGGGUUGUCUUUUCACUUUUAUGAUCGUAUUGUUGGUAAUACAAAAGUUUUAAAUUUGAAUGUAACCCAGUUUAUCUAUUUUUUUCUAUAACAAUAAUAAAAUUUAUUAUUUUA
ensembl:lncRNA